rnacentral:rRNA from 1 species
CAGUCGCCGCGGUAAUACGGAGGGUGCAAGCGUUAAUCGGAAUUACUGGGCGUAAAGCGUGCGCAGGCGGUUAUAUAAGACAGAUGUGAAAUCCCCGGGCUCAACCUGGGACCUGCAUUUUUGACUGUAUAGCUAGAGUACGGUAGAGGGGGAUGGAAUUCCGCGUGUAGCAGUGAAAUGCGUAGAUAUGCGGAGGAACACCGAUGGCGAAGGCAAUCCCCUGGACCUGUACUGACGCUGAGGAGCGAAAGCGUGGGGAGCGAACAGGAUUAGAUACCCCCGUAGUCCCUGUCUCUUAUAC